rnacentral:rRNA from 1 species
CAGUCGCCGCGGUAAUACGAAGGGGGCUAGCGUUGUUCGGAAUUACUGGGCGUAAAGCGCACGUAGGCGGAUAUUUAAGUCAGGGGUGAAAUCCCAGAGCUCAACUCUGGAACUGCCUUUGAUACUGGGUAUCUUGAGUAUGGAAGAGGUGAGUGGAACUCCGAGUGUAGAGGUGAAAUUCGUAGAUAUUCGGAGGAACACCAGUGGCGAAGGCGGCUCACUGGUCCAUUACUGACGCUGAGGUGCGAAAGCGUGGGGAGCAAACAGGAUUAGAUACCCGAGUAGUCCCUGUCUCUUAUAC